rnacentral:rRNA from 1 species
UACGUAGGGUGCGAGCGUUGCCCGGAUUUAUUGGGCGUAAAGGGCGCGUAGGCGGCUCUGCACGUCCGUUGUGAAAUCGCCCGGCUCAACUGGGCGGGGUCAGCGGAUACGGCGGAGCUUGAGCAAGCUAGGGGGCAAUGGAAUUCCCGGUGUAGUGGUGGAAUGCGUAGAUAUCGGGAGGAACACCAGUGGCGAAGGCGGUUGCCUGGAGCUUUGCUGACGCUGAGGCGCGAAAGCGUGGGGAGCGAUCCGG